rnacentral:rRNA from 1 species
AACCGACCUGGCUCACACCGGUUUAAACUCAGAUCAUGUAAAAUUUUAAAGGUCGAACAGACCUAAUUUAUUAGCUUCUACACCAAUAAUUCAAUUUUAAUCCAACAUCGAGGUCGCAAUCUCCUUCUUCGAUAAGAACUCUAAAAGAAAUCACGCUGUUAUCCCUAAGGUAAUUUAAUCUUCUAAUCUAAAUCUUAGGAUCAAAAAAUCAUUUAUUUAUGGUUCGCAAAAAAAAAAGUUACUUAAAUUUUUCUGUCACCCCAACAAAAUACUUAGAAUAUACCCAACUUUAAUCAUUUUCCUUUUUAAUUACAAAUAAUUCCAAAUAUAAAAUUCUAUAGGGUCUUCUCGUCUUCUAUAAAUAUUUAAGCUUUUUCACUUAAAAAUAAAAUUCUAUUAAAUUUUACCUGAGACAGAAACUUUUUCAUCAAACCCUUCAUCCAAGCUUUCAAUUAAAAAACUAGUGAUUAUGCUACCUUUGCACGGUCAAUAUACCGCGGCCAUUUAAUUCUCAUUGGGCAGGCCCRACUUGAAAUUAUAAUCAACAASCCAUGUUUUUAA